AACUCUGAUGCUUGAGUCCGAGAUUGCUCUGCAUACUGCUGGCCUGUUGAGUACAAGAGAAGCACCAUCCUCCCGUGUACAAGACAGCAUAAAAAACACUCCUCCGUCCAUCUCCAAUCCCGCAUGCCUCUCGGGUCAGAGGGAGGCUGAUCUCUUACGUGACGGCUGUGGGAACUGUGACACACAUGCUGAGCGCGCGCACGCAGCUGAGACUGUGGCCGAAUGUUUUGGACACCCUGUGUCCAUAAAAGCUCCCAGAUGGAAGAGUUCUGAUGGCACCAGAGGCCAAGCCAGCACCCAAAGAACACAAGACGGGACCAGUUCUCCCAGUGCAAGCCUUUUGUUCAGGGAGAGGAGACGACAGAGAAUAUCAACAUUCACUUCAACAGCAGAAUCGACACUGGCCUACCUGCAGGUGCUGGGCUUGAACCUCUUGCCCUGCCGUAGACACGAGUGCGGGCUCUCUCUGCACUGACACAGGCAGGUGUCGGGGUUGAGGGGCUGAUUCCCCGGACACUCUGCGGCGCACACACAACCACACAGCUCCUCGUCCCACCGCUGACCCGUCGGGCAGAGCUUCCCCUCGCCUUGGCCAACGCACUGACACUCACCUGAGAGAAAAGAGAAACAAAAUCAUGAAGGUGUUGUGGUCCAGUUUCCAGCCUGGAUCACAGCUGGCUUCGGUGAGUCCAUUUCGACAGACGCAAUCACACGUGGACUCGUCUAGAACUCUGUUUGGUCCGCAUAGAGCCAACAGACCUGUGUCCAGCGCCUCUGGAAGUCACAUGGAAAGAGUUGUGCAUCAGCUUGAGCCUGCUGCUGUAACGUCAAACAAUCCAAACUCUGGUCUGACUGCAGUUUUAUCCCAUGGGGUGAUCUGCCACGGCUCGUCUGAUGAUGGAGUGGAGCGGCCGCUUGGUGAGGCAUUCGCACGAAGUGUGGUUGACGAAGGUCACCAUGACGACCGAGCGAUCCAUCUUGGGCGGGGACAGCUCCAUCAGCUGUCGAGGAAGAGAGCUCUCCAGUGAUGACAGAAACGACGAAAGAGGAAGUGGAUCACCAGGAGGAUUCAUCCUGCGGGGAACAUGAAGGAGCAGCGAGAGAGAUUAAGUACGUUACGGGCUUUGGCGACGUUGUCGGUCUGGUCGGAGGGAAAGAAAAUAUCAACACACUUUGAAGGUAGCGGAAUAAAAGACGGGGCGAAUCAGUUACCGAGAACUGUAAAAUAAAUUAUGGGGAAGACGGAGAGACAAUGAGACGGGAAAGGACGAAGAGGAGAGACAGACAGGAGACCGAGGAGGAGGAGAAGGGAGAAAGAGGGAAGAGAGGCGGCAAGUUCCCCCAAAUAUCUGUCUUCCCAGCAACGCUUUCAAGCUCAAUCUGGAGGACGCCGGCUCCUUUCGAUGCAAAGGGACCACCUACUCGAAGCUCUCCUAUCUCUACGGCCGAGCUCGGACACCCUAAGUUCAGAGAACACAUCCAGCUUUGACGUGUGCUUCACAACAAGCAGAAAACAUCAGACUGACUGGCUUUUAUCUCUGCUCCUGUUGUGUGAUAGGCAAACCAAGCACGGUUGAUACUCUGGAUAAGAAUCGAACCAUCAACCUUCGGACUUUAGGGGGCGCUGACUGACGCUGAAGCCGCGCCUGCCCCGAAAGACUUCCCCCGUGCGUCACUUCCGUUUCCGGUCAAUCACACUCAGAGCUAAAAGUUGAUCCACGGAGAACAGGACGAGAAGAAAAGACGCCGGAGCGGAGUGAAGAGUGUCGAGAAGAACGAGACAGAACCGGAGUGUACAGAAGAAUAAGAGAGUUGAUCUAAGGACCUGAUUCAUCGACCCGAGGAGGGCCUGUCUUACUCAAAGAAGAAAGAAGAAGAUGAUCCACGGAGAAGAGGACAAGAAGAAAAGAAGUCGGACCUACAUCUGAGAGGAGUGGGCUGGACACUCUAAGAGUGUCGAGAAGAACUAGUGACUUUAAACAGAACCGGAGUGUACACAAGAAUAUGAGAGUUGAUCUAAGGACCUGAUUCAUCGACCUGGGGAGGGCAGCAAUACUGUAGCCUGUCUUACUCAAAGAUGAAAGAAGAAGAUGAUCCACUGAGAAGAGGACAAGAAAAAAAGACGUCGGACCAACACCCGAGAGGAGUGGGGUGGACACUUUGACUUUCAAGAAGAACGAGAGCAGAGAGUUAAUGAGCGGCUCCAGGAAGUCUGGGUCUGUGAGGCCACGUGGUUGGGGAGCUGCAUGCUGCAUCGACUUCAGGGAAGAUUUGUUUGUCAGACUGUUCCAGUCCAAGGAAUGUUUCUUGAAACGGAUCCAGCUGGUUAGUCUGUUGAAAAUGAUCAAACAAAGGCAACAUCCCAAACUGCUGAACCCAGAGGUCAACACCUUUUCACCAAUAAAGAUCCAGAGCUCGGAUGAGGAGGUCCUACCUGGAGAUCUUAAGUGCACGUUUGGCUCCGUCCUCACUUCCAAGAGGGAGGAACUCCUCUGCUAACGCAAGGCGUGCUCAUUCAUUGGACUUGUCCAUCAGUGGGGUCUGGACCAGGAGGAUAGAAGAGCAGUGUGAGAAGAUGGACGAGCACCAAACAGCAGCUUGUGCAGCUCAUCAGAUCCCUCAAAGCCAAGAGCCGAGGAUCCCGGCAGCAGACUAGAAGUAUCUCCAAGAAGAUGACCAGUAUUUACAGGAUUGGGCUCAACCAGGGACCCUCACUGCUACAGGAAGGUGUACCUGCACCUGAUGGUGUUCAAAAUGGUUCUUCACUUGCAUCUUUGAUGUCCUCUUGAACAAGAGCAAGGAGCCGGACCCCCGUGCAGAAGCUGUUCCUGAAAAGAGAUCCAGCGCUAUGCCAACAAGAAGAAGUGAUUGUAAAUGUAUUUGUUCAAACUAAAUCUAAUUGUUGAGCCUAAAUCUUCAGUAUUCAACGUUAAAUGUAAAUUUUGAACAAUAGAUGUAAUUG